UUUCGGGUGAUUCCGACUGGACUGAAUGCUAUACGCCUGAUAGUAAUCCAUGCGAGUCACUGUAGUAAUACAUGGCAGACUGCUCAGUAACCAGUAGUCAACUACCCGAUUGACGGGGAUAACGCGGGAAACUCAGGAAUAAUACAUCAUAGAACAUUAUACGUGGACUGGUGUAUGUAUCAAAUAAUCUAAUGCCGUAGGAUGGGCCUGCGGUCUAUCAUCUCGUUGGUGAGGUAUUGGCCCACCAAGACUAUUACAGGUACGUGAUCUGAGAGGAGAAGCCUGGAGAUGGGUACUGAGACAUGCACUCAGCCUCUAUCGGGCGCAGCUGGCGCGAAAACUCUGCAAUGCCGAAAGCAAGCCAAGGUUAAUCAGAGUGUAUUCUGCUAACGAAAUCUUGAGUUAGUCGUAACAACAAUGAUGAAUAACGGGUGGGCAAGUUGUGGUGUCAGCCGGCGCGGUAAAACCAGCACCUCAAGCGGUCAGGAGGAUUAUUGGGCCUAAAGCAUCCGUAGCCUGCUUUGUAAGUUUUCGGUUAAAACCAUAUGCUCAACAUAUGGGCCGCCGGGAAUUCUGCCCAGCUAGGGAGCGGGAGAGGUAGGCGGUACUCGGUAGGAAGGUGUAAAAUCCUUUGAUCUAUUGAUGACUACCAGUAAGAAGGCGGUCUACCAGAACACGUCCGACGGUGAGGGAUGAAAGCAGGGGGAGCAAACCGGAUUAGAUCCCCGGGUAGUCCCAGCUGUAAACUAUGCAAACUCGGUGAUGCGUUGGCUUGUAGCCAGUGCAGUGCCGCAGGGAAGCCGUUAAGUUUGCCGCCUGGGAAGUACGUACGCAAGUAUGAAACUUAAAGGAACGGCGGGGGAGCACCACAAGGGGUGAAGCAUCGGUCAAUGGAAUCAACGCCGG
rnacentral:rRNA from 1 species